AGAGUUUGAUCCUGGCUCAGGAUGAACGCUGGCGGCGUGCUAAUACAUGCAAGUCGAGCGAACCACUUCGGUGGUGAGCGGCGAACGGGUGAGUAACACGUAGGUGAUCUGCCCAUCAGACGGGGACAACGAUUGGAAACGAUCGCUAAUACCGGAUAGGACGAAAGUUUAAAGGUGCUUCUGGCACCGCUGAUGGAUGAGCCUGCGGCGCAUUAGCUAGUUGGUAGGGUAAAGGCCUACCAAGGCGACGAUGCGUAGCCGACCUGAGAGGGUGAACGGCCACACUGGGACUGAGACACGGCCCAGACUCCUACGGGAGGCAGCAGUAGGGAAUCUUCGGCAAUGGGCGAAAGCCUGACCGAGCAACGCCGCGUGAAUGAUGAAGGCCUUCGGGUUGUAAAAUUCUGUUAUAAGGGAAGAACGACUUUAGUAGGAAAUGGCUAGAGUGUGACGGUACCUUAUGAGAAAGCCACGGCUAACUACGUGCCAGCAGCCGCGGUAAUACGUAGGUGGCGAGCGUUAUCCGGAAUUAUUGGGCGUAAAGAGCGCGCAGGUGGUUGAUUAAGUCUGAUGUGAAAGCCCACGGCUUAACCGUGGAGGGUCAUUGGAAACUGGCCGACUUGAGUGCAGAAGAGGGAAGUGGAAUUCCAUGUGUAGCGGUGAAAUGCGUAGAGAUAUGGAGGAACACCAGUGGCGAAGGCGGCUUCCUGGUCUGUAACUGACACUGAGGCGCGAAAGCGUGGGGAGCAAACAGGAUUAGAUACCCUGGUAGUCCACGCCGUAAACGAUGAGUGCUAAGUGUUGGGGGUCGAACCUCAGUGCUGAAGUUAACGCAUUAAGCAC
rnacentral:rRNA from 1 species